rnacentral:rRNA from 1 species
CAGUAGCCGCGGUAAAACGUAGGUGGCAAGCGUUGUCCGGAAUUAUUGGGCGUAAAGCGCGCGCAGGCGGCCUAUCCAGUCCGCCUUAAAAGUUCGGGGCUCAACCCCGUGAUGGGAUGGAAACUGCCAAUCUAGAGUAUCGGAGAGGAAAGUGGAAUUCCUAGUGUAGCGGUGAAAUGCGUAGAUAUUAGGAAGAACACCAGUGGCGAAGGCGACUUUCUGGACGAAAACUGACGCUGAGGCGCGAAAGCCAGGGGAGCGAACGGGAUUAGAUACCCCCGUAGUCCCUGUCUCUUAUACA